rnacentral:lncRNA from 15 species
CUCUUACUGAUUACCUAUAAGGCACUUUAUGACCUUGCCCCCAGUUACAUUUCAGAUAUCCUUGUUCCUUGUUCCACUCCUCGGCCUCUUCACUCCUCAAAUCUAGGCCUUUUAUAAAUUCCCGCUCUAACUGUAAAACUAUAGGUGACUGUGCCUUUGCUGUUUUAGCCCCAACAUUGUGGAAUAGUCUUCCCUAAUCACUCAGAUUUGCUGAAUCCAUGGACUGUUUUAAGCGGCUCCUCAAAACCCACCUCUAUAGGCAAGCUUUCUUAUGGAUCUCCUUCUUGUUUGUUUACUUAUCUCUGUCAUCUCUCUUUUGAUUUAUUCUUCCUGCUAUGUUUUAUCUUCCAUAUAUUUGUAUUUAUAUGCUCCCUUUUAAUGUAUGAUUGGGUAUGGUUAUGUAUGUACACAACAUUUUGUACCUUUGUGGUCAGUGUUAGGUGACUAAAACAGCUUUGCUAAGGUUAGGAAAAGAUAGUGAUUAUAGUUAACCAAACAUUUUCCAUUAGAAUAAUUUGAAAGAGCUAUAAUCAGGCAAAUGCUAUAAGUGAAUAAUGGUCCAUAUUUAAAAUCCAUCUUUCCGUGUGGAGUUUUCCUUGUGUUCAUAGAUUUUUAUUAAAUUGCAGCUGCUUUGGUCCCAGGCAGUACAAUAAUGUGGGUAAAAAAAAGUAUUUCCAGAAGACAUGAAUGGAAAGACUCUGUUAUGAUAAAAAUAAAAAUAAAGACUUUAAGUAACAUCUUACUCUCAUUGGACCUCUGUUAAACUCCUCUAUUGUAAGUUGUGUCUAAAGUCAAAGUCAAUUCAAGGCACUUUUAAAGACAUUUUCCAACCCUUGAUGAACCAUGAUAAGCUGAAGGUGCUUCUUCAUUUCAACAGAUGAUCCAGUUUGUUAGACAUUUAGUAGGAAUGGAAUAACAUUCAGUAUUGACCAAAUAAUCAUAUAUUGUGUGUAAUUUUUAUUGUAUUGUGUGUUUUACAGGGUCCAGUGCUGUGACUCCUGUGNNNNNNNNNNNNNNNNNNNNACGUUUUUACUGUUGUGUGGAACUUCAAUAAAACAGACGUUUUAGUUACAUUUUCACCUGGUAGAGAACCAACAGUCUCUCCUGCUUACACUGGAAGAGUUGAGUUUUCUGUGAAUGAUUAUUCUCUGAAAGUGAAGAAUCUACAAGAGGCAGACAGUGGAGUUUAUACUGCACGAGUGACAAGCCCUACAAAAGAACAAACAACUGAAUACAACGUCACAAUUCAAGAUUCUGGACCACCCCACAACGACAUCAAUGUCAUUGUCAUUGUCAUUGUGCUUGUUACCAUUGCAGUUCUCUGCAUUAUUGCAGUCUCUGCAGUUUGUUAUCGUCGAAAGAGAAGAAAAUGUAAGUCCAAGUGUGCAUUGUAACAUAGAAUUACAACAUAAAAUGUAUAAAAUCCUAUUUGUUUAGUGCACAGCCUUCUAGUGAUCCUAAAAGUGGGUGGAUCUUUAUGGUUUAGCCCAUUCACUCUUAGCAUCCCCAGGACAGAUCUCAGGUGAGAUCCCAAGAGGAAGGAAAUGGGUUAUCAGUGCACAAUUCUGGUUGCCAAAGCACCUUUUUUGAUACAAGCUAUUCCUACAACUAUCAAUCAGUAUCAAUGUUGCAUCACAAUAAAUACAAAUCCUAAAUAUGGAAGCUAAAUAUGAAGCUUUAAAUCCAAAAUUUGCCUGCUAAAAAUGAAAU